AGCAGCGUGUCCGAGAACGGAGAAAGAGAAGAAGAGAGAGGGCGGACCUUGUUCGGUCGUUCUUAUGGCUUGAAAUGGUUCACGCCCCUUUUUCGCGUAAACAGCCAAUGAAAGUCCGCGAUCUGAAGCGGAGGGAAAAGUUCCUUUGUCUCUGUGGAGACAACCCCCUGGAGAUCUAGGUCUUGUCCAAAUUCCAGGGAUUAUUCUAGCAAGUUUGUAAUUCAGAUUACAUACAUUUUUCAUUACUUUGCUCUAGAUAAAUGGGUCUGUCAGAGCAUGACGAUCACAAAGAUACUAAACAUAAUAUAUAUAAAUGAUCAAAACAUGAAGUUACAUUCAAAUGCAGAAUUACACAUAUUUAAAGAUUUGAUUAACACAUGAUAACACUGCAGAUAGUCCCAAUUUAUAUGGGAAAUUUCUAAUGCACCGCAAAAUCAAUAACAUACACAUUAAUACUACAUUUAAUACUACAUUAAUACAUAUUAAUACUACAUUUGAGUACAUUUUACCAUUCUUUUGUAAGGAUUAGGUUUCCUGUCCUGUGUGGUCGUAAAGUUUUACGACCUGCAGGGGUGGGGGUUGCAGAAACAUGGCUCUCUUUGAGAAAGAGCCAGGCUGAGGAGAACAUUUCCACCUAUGAAUCGAUGAUCUGCAUAUCUGUUACAUAGCUUUUCAGUAGCGAAGCUCUUUUUUUUAACCAAGUAGUGCGGUAGCUUCCACACAAGCUACAUUUUCUCAAGCAUUUCUGAAGCUCAAACUCAAAUCGGGAAAUACAACUGCUAAGAUUUCUGAUUUCUGACCGAGAGAACAGAGAGAAAAUGCUUUUCAGAUGCUGCUUGUAAAAAUUAUCAGGGUCCAGCCUGGCCAUAUCCUACGUGUAAUAAUCUCGUACACACACACAAACACACACACAAAGUUUUUUUUUUUUUUUGGUACUGUUUUUGAGGUCUUGCAUUUGGUUCUGCAAAGGCCUAUAGUAUAUUAAGCAUGCCCAUGCAACAGGUGCAUACACUUACUUGUGCGUGUGUUAAUUACAUGUAUUUUGAUUGUUUUUGUUGCCAAAUUGAUAAGGAACACAAAAAACAAUUAAACUAAACAAUUACACAUCUGUUUGACUAACAGUUUUGAGCACUGAGAUAGCAUUGACUUGUAAUAAAAUGUUUUUGACAUUUUAGCAUUGACUUGUUUUUAAAUUUGGUUUUGAAAAAGCUCUUUACCAGUGAGACUAAAUAAAAGUAUGCUAUAUACAUAAAUUAUUUCAAAAUGUUAAAAUCAAAUAAUGUUGGUGCAAAUAAAACAAAGAUGCAAAGUGUAUCAUUAUACCCUAUAUCAAAUAAUUUAUAAUAAAAAAAAAAAUUAGGGUAAUGAUUCACAUCUAUAUUUUUUUACUUGAGCCAAUGAAAAAUAAAUAACUUAUUGUCUCAAGUAAAAAAAAAUAGAUGUGAAUCAUUACCCUACAUUUUUUUUAUUGGAUGAAUGAAAUGCUGUUUUUCAGUGUGCUACAGCAGUUGAUUUUUAAAAUUAAAUUAAGUCUAUGUAAUUUUAAGGUAAAAUAAAAAUAAUCAUCCUAAUGCAGAAAUUACGUUUACUUCUGGCUUUUCAAACGUGUAUGCAAGUUCUAAUGUACAAAAACAAAAAGUUUCAGCUUUGUUACAGUUUAGUCCGUUUCGUUUCUCAUCCAACAUGUGAGAAGUUGAGCUGAACAUCUCUUCACUGUCUCACUCUAUGUUGGCGCAGCUUUAGUGCGCGCAGGAAAGGGACUCUUAUUUGUGCGGCAGUACAACAACGGCUGUUCGCGUCCUGCUAUCUGUGCCUCAGACAUGUAGCUCUGCACUUCCAGUGCUGAACGGCUGCCUGUAUCCUGCCCACAGAUUUCAAAAUACUUCCACACAAAUUAAAUAGCAAACGAUUACAAUGUAGUCUGUGCAAGCGGGCGCACUUCCGGAAAAAUUGGCCGAAAAAAGACCAAAAACUGAUUCAUUUGCGUUAGUUUUGAGUAACAAUUGGGCGGGUUUUGUUGUGAAAACCUGGCAACCCUGCUGGAGCUUCAAGAGCCCAUGCUCACAGCAUACCGAUGUUACAGUUUGAAAGGGUCAUAUGCGUUUUCAAUAAGUUAACAUACUCUGUUACACCAAAUACACAAAAUAAUGAUCUUUAAAAAAGCAUCAUUUGACUCCUUAAACCGGUGGUGAUCAAGUGUUAUUAACUUCACAUUGCUUCCAAAUGAAAUUUUUAACUACCACAUUCCUAUUUACGAGCAUUCUGGUAGCACAUGAAGGAGGCAUUAGUAAAACCAGGCAGACACAAUGGUAGCUUUAGCAACAUUAGCGUUACAAAGAGCCAAAGAAGCUCUUUUGGAAAAGGAAAAAAAAGAUGUUUGAUGCUUACUUUGUCUGUUGUCUGCUUGUUUGCACAUGAAGCAUUGGUAUCCUCCUUUUAAGAAGCAAUUUUUGCACAACUGCAGCCAUAAACGGACAUUCAUUUGUAAGGCAGUCCAGUGUAAAAUGUUUGCACAAGUGUAUAGGAUGUUUCAGUUUUUUUCCUGGGACUUUUCCCUCGAAAAUGAAAUUUAACCAUCGUGUCCUCAGUUGUCUGUGGAGACUCCUAUGUUUGUUGGUGCUUCCCAGCACGUGACACUUUUAAUGGCUCUUUGGCGCUGACAUUUGGCGCUUUUCCACUGCAUGGUACGGCUCGGUUCAACUCUGUACAGUUCGACUCGGUGCAGAACGGUUCGGCUCGCUUCGCUUUUCCACUGCUUGGUAUGACUCGACUUGGUACGGCACGGUUUGGUUCGCUUUAGCUCGGUUGCUUUCCACUGCAGUUAGUACCGCUUCAAAGUGGGUGGGACUGAUCAUUAAUAUUUGCCGCCUCUACUUUCAUGACAUCAUCCUAAACGCACAACACAGGAACAAUGGAGCCUAUCAAGGGGAUGGUGUUCUUGAUUCUCGGCAUGUGGAUGUUUUUAACUUCAAGAUGGAUAGAAGUGUUUAAAAUGAGGCUGAUGGCAGCAAUUACUUAAAAAAAAAACUCAAAAAAGUCUGGGAACUCUUACAACAAAGCGAAGAUGACGACAUCACUCGGUUUGCCCGACGGCGCACGAGGAUGCAUCAUAUUUUGCAAAGUGAUAUAUAAUAUUUUUAACAGAGCUUCAGAUUGGUGGGGUGUGAUUGUUCCUGGGUUUACAAACACACAGUGGUUGGAGAACUUUAGAAUGUCGGAAGAAACAUUUAUUUACUUGUGCAACAAACUUCGUCCUGCGAUGGAGAGACCGGACACAAACUUCCGCGUGUGUGUACCUCUAAAAAAGAGAGUAGCCAUUGCACUGUGGAAGCUUGCUACCGGCUCGGAGUACAGAAGUGUUGGACAUCAUCUUGGAGCAAGCAUUUCAACUGUGUGUCGGUGUGUUCAGGAAUUCUGUGCUGCAGGAGAGACGUUGUUGAUACUAGAACAAAUUCGUUUUCCAGACCAGGAGAGGUUUAAAGAAAUGGCUGCCUACGUUGAGAACAGAUGGGGACUUCCACAGUGUAUUGGUGCUAUUGAUGGAUCACACAUAACAAUAAUAGCCCCACAAGACUAUUUCAACCGUAAAGGCUGGCACUGGAUCAUCCUUCAAGGUGUUGUGGAUGGGAAGGUACUUUUCUGGAAUGUGUUCACAGGACUGCCUGGAAGCCUGCAUGAUGCUCGGGUUUUGAGACUGUCCACACUGUGGGAGGUGACAAGCUGUGGAAACCACAUACCAGCUAGCACCAAAAACAUUGCUGGGGUGAAUGUUGGCUACUACAUCCUUGGAGACUCUGCCUAUCCCUUGCAGAACUGGCUAUUAAAACCAUUCAUUGACACUGGACGGCUAACAGCGGGUCUACAACAUUAAAAUCUCCAGAGCACGUGUAGUGGUUGAAAAUGCUUUUGGUAGAUUAAAAGAAGGAUGGCGUUGCCUUAUGAAAAGAAAUGACUGUGCGGUCGACCUUCUGAAAUCUAUGGUGCUGACAUGCUGUGCUCUACAUAACCUUUGUGAGAGUCAUGGAGAGGCCUAUGAGAGUGCAUGGGAUCCACCUUCAGCAGCAGAGCCUGUGCUGGGACUGGCACAGCCUGUAGAGGAGGGGGGAAGGGAUGUCCUUGAGGCUCUGAUGCGUUACUUGAAUAGUUGACUCUGUCUGUUCUGUAAAGUGUGUUGUAAAUAAACUUUUGUGCAUUAUUUGAAAAA